UACGUAGGGGGCAAGCGUUGUCCGGAAUCAUUGGGCGUAAAGAGCGUGUAGGCGGCCAGACAGGUCCGUUGUGAAAACUCGAGCUCAACCUCGAGACGCCGAUGGAAACCGUCUGGCUAGAGUCCGGAAGAGGAGAGUGGAAUUCCUGGUGUAGCGGUGAAAUGCGCAGAUAUCAGGAAGAACACCCGUGGCUAAGGCGGCUCUCUAGUACGGUACUGACGCUGAGACGCGAAAGCGUGGGGAGCGAACAGG
rnacentral:rRNA from 1 species